GAGUAGAGGUUCGUAACAACAAUGACUGCUAAUCCUUGCCUUCCUGGGUUAAACUCCCAGGCUCACUCG
rnacentral:tRNA from 1 species